rnacentral:lncRNA from 1 species
GUAUCAGAUUGUGCGGCUGCCAGCUCCACGCUCCACACUCGGCGAGCACAUCGUCGGUGACCGAUGAUGGGGAGAUAGGAGGGCGGGCCUGGCAGCCGUCAGCCGGGGAGCUGGCCAGACGCAGCUAGGGGCUGAGAAGCCGUCACUUCCCAGGUGUGAAAUGGUUCUCUCCAGAGAGCAGACCCAUGGCCAGGCCUGGCCAGUCGAGUUCCUUCAUGAAUUGUAUGUCUAUCUGCUGAGGAGAGAGUGACUUCCACUUACUUCUUGGAUCUCCAAGACCCCUCC